rnacentral:lncRNA from 1 species
CUCAAAAGACUUGGAAAGAAGAGAAUGUUUUUGAGAACAUUUUUCACUUGGAAUAACACAUUUUUUUGCAACCUUGUGCAUCAAGCAACAAAGCAAAUGCACAUGCGUUGUUUUGGAACGUACAAACAACAGUUGUAUGUUUAUGUAUAUUUCAAGUGAGCUUCAAAGACUCCAACCAUCUAUAAAUAUAGCAACAUAUCAAGGCAAUUGGCAAGAGCUUACAAUACAAAAGAAUUCAAUCUCUCUCUCACGUGAAUAUUUUUCAUAAUUCAUAUUCAAUGUCUUUCAAUAUGAAUAUUUUUUUCUGGUCCCUUUUUUACUUUAUUUAUUUCAGUCAUAUAUUCCAGAAUUCUCUAGUCCUUUUAUUUACUUUAUUUUAAAUUUUUACUUUAUUUUAAAUAUUCAAUCUAGAAUUCUCUGAUCCUUUUAUUUUUAAUUAACAAAUAUUUUUAUUUGUUUAACUCUUACCAAGAACUUUCUUGAGUAUAUAAACUUAUUUAAGUUUUAGGAAUAAUUUUUAAAAGGGUCACAAUUCAAACCCCCCUUUCCACUAUCACCUUCAUCAUUGAUAUUUCCACCUGCUCCAAAGACACAAUCAAAUAAUCCAGAACUUCUUGGUGGUUCUAUUUUUGGUAGUCAUAUGGAGAAUUUGUUGAUGAGUCAUGGUGGUAAUUCACCAACAAAAUCACAAUCACAACAACAUAUACAAUCAAAGUUCUAACAUCAAAGUCCCAAUUUUUGCUCUAAAGUUUCAUCCAGUAUUUGUUACCUAAAUACUCAAAUUAAGAGUGUCAAUUUAAAAUUACCUUGAACUUAAUAACUAAGAGAUUUUUUUUGGUGGUGUCCGGAAUUUGAACCCUAGACAUUGCAUAUAUUAGGCAUUAUCCCUACCAACUGAGUUAAACUCAUGGAGAUACUUAAUAAUUAAGGGCUUAAAUAUGCAAUUCGUCUUUGUAAUUUAGGCGCGUUUUGAUUUUCAUCCUUGUAAAAAAAAAAAAUUAAAAACAUCCCUGCAAAAUUUUUCCACGUGGCAGUCUACGUCAUUAAAAAAAUUUAAUUUUAUGAAGAAAAAAAUUGAAAAUUAGUUUUUUCUUUUUUUUUUUUAAAUCUGAAAAUAAAUGUUUGAAAAAUAAAAUUAAAAAUUAUAUAAUCUCAAAAUUUUUGAAAAUAUAAUUUUCAGCAUUUUCAAAAAAAAAUGUAAUAUAUAAUUUUGAAAAAUUUAAUUUUCAGUUUUUUUCAAAUUUAAAUUUUAUUUCAGAUUUUUCUUAUUUAAAAAUAGAAUUUUAAAAAAAAAUAUUUUUUUAAUUAUGUAGUAUGCCACGUGGCAAAAGUUGCACAGUCAAUAAAUCAUAAUUGAAGUGGCCAAAAUCGUAAAUCGCAAAUCGCAAACCUGAAGAAAGAGAGUGAAGCAAGAAACGGCAACACCAGAAUCGCAAAUCGCAAGCAGGAAGAGAAGUAAGUAAUUGAUUUCCUGU